ACAAAUGCAGCUUCAAGAUUCAACAAUGCAAGUAUGCAAUUUGAAGUGGAUGAGACUAAAUUUGAAGAAUUGAAACUUAUAAAUUUAAUUGAAUUUCCUUUUGCCUUGAAGAAUAUGUUCUAAGGAACGACGACGAUUGUGCCAUGGAAAUUUCAAUAGUAAUUGAGGAAAAACAAUCCACAGAUACAAUAGUGAAGAUCAAAGAAACUCAAAUUGUGAAGUUGAUAGAAGUUGAAGAUUUAUC
rnacentral:misc_RNA from 1 species